GUAGUGGAUGGACAACGGGUUAAUAUUCCCGUACCUGUAUAAUAAUAAAGUGACGGAGUUGGAAAUUAGGUGCGUACUGACGGAAUAGUACGUUGAAGUAACUGCGAGGUUACGAUAGUACAGCAAGUCUUCGGAUGCGCUGAUAAUCCUAAGUACCCGCUUCCAAGAAAAGCGAUUUAUACAGCCCGUACCAAAACCGACACAGGUAGUCGAGGAGAGAAUCCUAA
rnacentral:rRNA from 1 species